AAUCACGCUGCUCUCCAGAUGGCCGAGGCACCCUGCGUCCCGGCUCUGCAGCCCGCUCUGGCUCUCAAUUAAUUCCGGCUCUUCUUGGCACCGAGGCGGCUGGUUUGCUUGCGUUUAACUUUUGCCUUUCAGAAGGUGAUAAUGAAACAGAUAAGGAUCCUACAAGGCUAUUUCUUCCUGCUUGGAAAGCCCAAGCCCUGAUCAUCAACAGAAGUCUAGAGCACCACAAAUACAAAUCCUCUCUUCAUUCUCCUCCUGGAUAGCUGGGAAAGAAGUUGGACUGUGACUGAUCUCAUUCACAGGGGUCUCUUUUACUUUUUCUAUUAUUCUUAGCUCAUGAGUUUUAAUUCUUUGCCUUGCAUGUUUUUUGUCAAACUACUUAAGAUAGAGUAUUUCAUGCGCAAAGUGAAAUGCCUCUGAUAAGAACUAUACUUACAUUGGUUUAAUAGUUUCAUCUACUCUAGUUUUUUCAAAACUAAUUUAAAAGUCCAUGUAACAAAAAUUCUAUGAGGUACCUAAAAUGAUACAGAGAAAUAGGGUUGUGCAUUAAGUCACCUUCUGUUUCUGGUUUUAGCACCUUUCCCAGGGCUGCAAGAUAUGGUUCACCAUCCUCAUGAUAUAACAGCUGCACUUUCCUGCAGAUAAGUAUUUGCAUGCUGUAUUUGAAGAACAAAAAGAUCGUUCUGGCUUGUACAUCUGUGACGCGUUUACCCAGGAUGCAGGAAGACCAUUUUGUUUUCUGCUUGGCCUGAGCAGAACGUUCGACCUACUUUCCAUGGAAGUUUCCUAAUGAUGAACCUCAAGGAUACAUUGGACAGCAUUCCUUCUCCCUAUUUCCUGCAGAAAGGGUGAAGUAUAUAGGAAAAAAAAAAGUUUGAUUUGUGAAAAUGAGAAGAAAACUAGAAGGGGGUCAUAGGUUCGAGUCCAUGAGAAGUAAAUGCUUCCAUGCGUUCCAGGAACAUGUAAUAUACCAAAUCAGAAUCUCUGUAUUCAGGUGAAAGCUCUGAACACCAGACUUCCUAAUUCUAUUUGGUUUUCUGAAAUGGUAAAUCUUUGUGUAUGUGUGUUUAUUUUUUUUUCCUUAAAGACUAAGGAAGAGAAGCAUCUGGUCAUUUGAUCCUAGCUGAGGUAGGUUUGUAGACCAGCACGAAGCAGAUCAGUGAAAUUUAGGCUGAAUACAUAUGCACAGGGGGAGAGGCAGAACUUUGGGCAGCUGUGAUUGUGGAUUCACCCUUUGAAGCACGGCUAAGCAAACAGGAAGUUUAAAGUUUCCACCCAAGGUACUUUCAGAGCUGAAGUUCCUCCACAGUUAGCCAACAGCUGAGCAGUAACAAUCUGGAUUAUGACUUAGAAGACAAGAGGCUUUCUGUUACCAGUCAUCAUGAGUAAAGUGUCAUGAAAGAGCUGAGCGACUGUUACAGAUCCUGCCUGCAGCCCUUUCAGAUUUCAUGAUAAAUCCUCCCUCCCCUUCACUCCCAUAAAUACAUCUGCAAAUGACGUACCAGCGAUUGUGUGAGCAUUUCAAGCUUUUCCUUUUGUUUGGGAGCUGUUGUUGCUAUGCCACCACCACUCGUAUUGCAUUUUAUUUAGGUGGAUGUUAGGAGAUGAUUAGAUAGUUUAAUAGGCUCACCCCGUUAUGCACAAUGUUCUGGUGGUGCGUAGCCUCAUUUUGGUGACCUGGCAAUCGCUAUUCAAAAGAGAAACGUUGGCUUCCACUUGGAAGUUGGACAGGAACACUAUCCUUGAUGGAUUUGUGUACUUACGUAGUACAAAAGAUGAAGAUUACCUUUGAUUUAUUUUGUACUUGUGGGCAGAGAACAGUUUUGUUGGUGAUUAGUAUUUACAAUUUAUGUUUAUAUUUUACAUAAUAUGUGGCAUCUAGGUGCCCUCUGCCACGGUGUCCUAAAAGUCCCUAAUCUUGUAAAGAUUUAUGUGGGUGCUUAACAAAUGGUCCUGCCCUGUUUAAUGUCACUGCUCACAGUGGCUGUUAAGCUAGGAUGUAAGGUUUGCAUAUCGCUGGUGUGUCAAAAUAAAAAGCACAAGCACCAGAACUUUGGAAAGCAAUAGCAAGCAGGAAGUUUAUGAAAAUGUUGUAAACAAAUUAGUUACAGAUUUAAACAUACUUUAUGAAUAUAAGAAUAAUUGCUUAUCUAUUAAAUUUUUAUAGUGAAUUCCAGUUGUCCCUGGCUGGUUGGUUGUUAUACAGCAAAAGUCUCAAAUAAAUCCUUCU